AAAACUUGGAGGGGUCGGUGACGUUGUCGAGGUUGUCAGGAAAUGCUAAGUGAUAGCAUUUCCUGACAACCCUCGACAAUGUCACCGACCCUUCCUAAAAAUUCCAUUACCUGAACCUGUAUCAUCUCAACUGUGUUGAUUGACCCUGUAUGUGUUGUUAGAUUAAGAUUCAAUUAUGAUUUUUUUGAUUUUGAAAAUUGAUCGGUUCAGUUUUGAUCAUCUGAGGCUAUGAUGUCGAGAUCUGGCGUUGGGUGUAAUCGAUGUUUACUAACCGAUGAUAAUUAGAUCGAUGUCAAAAAAGGGAUAUUCAGGGGGUGUUUGGCCUAGCUUUGUUAUCUAAGCUUAUAGCUUUUUUAGAUUAUUUUUACAAAAUAAGCACUAAUAGGUGUUUGGUUUAGCUUUUUAAGUUUAUGCUUAUUAGCUUAUAUAAGCUAAUUACAAGAAGCUUAUGGAAACAUGGUUUUUUAGCUUAUUUGAAGAAGAUGGUUUUUUACUCAUUAGACACAAUGAUAUUAUACCCCUUCCCAUAAUACAAAAUAACUUAACAAACAACUAAAGAUUAAUUAUUAAUUAUCAACUUGUAGAAUAUAAGGUAAUCUAAACACUUAAAAAUAGGUUAUCAAAUGAAAGAAAAUAAGCAUAAGCUACUUUAAAAUAUAAGCAUAAGCCAAAAAAAUAAAAGCUAGGCCAAACACCUCCUCAGUCAAUGAUGUUGAUGAGAUUCUUCUCACCUGAGACUAAAAAAUCUGUUUGAACAAAGUCUGUUUGAACAAAGUUAAACAACUGUUUGCAAAACUAUGAUUCUUAGUGGUUCAAAAGUCUGUUUGACUAAAGUCAAACCACUGUUUGCAAAAAAUGCAACCACUGUUUUCUUCACAAAACACUGUUUAAAUCAACAGUGGUUUCAAACAUCUGUUUUCAUCCAUCUGUUGACCAAAGUCAAACCACUGUUUGUAAAAAAUGCAACCGCUGUUUUCUUGAUAAAACACUUUUAACUCAACAGUGGUUUCAAACAUAUGUUUUCAUCCAUCUGUUGAAACAGAUGUAUCAACCGCUGUAUCAACAGAUGUAUCAACAACAAUGGUUUUAAAUUGAUGAGCAUUAGUUAUGAAAAAAUAAUACAAAAUCAUAUUGAAAAAAUAAUACAAAAUCAUAUUUGCUUUCAUUGUUCUAUAUUCUAUGAUCGUAAAUCUUGAAACAUCUCUUGGUACAAGAUCCUUCCUUUUUUGGGUAUAGCGUUCCAUAAACUUUUCAUCUUCGUUUCUUAAAAUAUAACCGAUGAUAAUUAGAUCGAUGUCACCUAAGGAAUAUUCAGUCAAUGAUGUUGAUGAGAUGCUUCUCACCUGAGACUAAAACUAUGAUGAAACAAACGUCUGCCCGAAUAUAAGCGAGGUCUGACAUUUUCGAAUCAUUUGUAUUACUUUAGCAAAUCAUUUAGUGUUGAUCGUGAUGAUGAAUAAAAAUGAAUUCAAAGUGCAUUUUUCUUGUGCUUUCAAAAUGAGGUUAUGAUGAUUUUGCAAAGUGUCAAAAAAUCUACCAUGACGAUAGCAUUAUGGUAUGGCAAGGUCGUAGGAUGGCAGUUGUUCAUGCAACCUCUCUUGCAGCCAUGGUGUUGUCAUCUUUAUGCACAAUCUGAGCCUGCCAUUCUAACAAUAUAAAUGUUUUGCAACUUCGAACACAUAAGACAACGUUUUUUAGAUUGCAAGUGAUAUUCAGUCAAUGAUGUUGAUGAGAUGGUUCUCACCUGAGACUAAAAGUAUGGUGUUUUCCAAGAAUUCCAUAGUUGGCGGUGCUCCGAGAGUGGUGAUAUAUAUAAGCUAUCCACAUUGAAGGAGCUUAGAAGCGACUGCAAUUUGCUGAUUACGAUGAUGGUUAGCUUGAUAAGCAGGAAAGCGGUGUACACAUGUGGAGGCUGCGGUGCAACACUUCAAGUUUGCCAGAAAGCGGAAUAACAGUACAAUUGACAUCACAUCACACAGACCAAACAACAAUUCUUCAGGAAAAACCGCUGAUGUUGAGAUUCUUGAAUCAGUGAAAAUCCGGUGCCAUAUAAUUAAGUACAGGUUAUACUUCAAGCUUUCUCGCUCUCUUUGCAGGCGAAUAGGUUGACUCGAUGAGGGAUAUAAUCUGUUUUUAGUAUUUGAUUUGGCUGAUGACCCAUGUUCAAGGAUGACUUAUGUUUCAGACUAUACAAAGAUUGCCUUUUGGUUAUCAUAAGGUCUCAAUGCACCUAAUGACAGCAACCAUCAUUGAGCCAUCACAUUCUUUCCGUUUACAUUUCAGGUGCGUUGGGUAUUGAGAUCAACAAAUUUAGCGCCACUUGCAGAUAUGGGUUCAAGGUCAAUAUUUGGCUUGAAACAGAGACAGAGGACUUUUGUUUCUGAAUGUUUUAUAGCUGAACUUAUGACUUGUAUGCCUAAUGUUUUUGUCAAUUCAUAACUAUAGAUGUAGGAAAAAACUUUGCACAUUAUAAACU